rnacentral:rRNA from 1 species
CGUGUAGGCGGGUCGGUAAGUCAGAUGUGAAAGCCCUGGGCUCAACCCGGGAAGUGCAUUUGAAACUGCCAGCCUGGAGUAUGGGAGAGGAGAGUGGAAUUCCGAGUGUAGAGGUGAAAUUCGUAGAUAUUCGGAGGAACACCCGUGGCGAAGGCGACUCUCUGGACCAAUACUGACGCUGAGACGCGAAAGCGUGGGGAGCAAACAGGAUUAGAUACCCCGGUAGUCC